GUAGGGAAUAUUGGGCAAUGGAUGCAAGUCUGACCCAGCCAUCCCGCGUGCCGGAAGAAGGCCUUCGGGUUGUAAACUUCUUUUAUGAGGGACGAAGGAAGUGACUGUACCUCAUGAAUAAGCCACGGCUAACUACGUGCCAGCAGCCGCGGUAAUACGUAGGUGGCAAGCGUUGUCCGGAUUUACUGGGUGUAAAGGGCGCGUAGGCGGACUGGCAAGUCAGAUGUGAAAUCCAUGAGCUCAACUCAUGAACGGCAUUUGAAUGUGUUAGUCUUGAGUAGCGGAGAGGCAAGCGGAAUUCCUAGUGGAGCGGUGAAAUGCGUAGAUAUUAGGAGGAACACCAGUGGCGAAGGCAGCUUACUAAGCUACAACUGACACUGAAGCACGAAAGCGUGGGGAUCAAACAGGAUUAGAAACCCGAGUAGUCC
rnacentral:rRNA from 1 species